GGUCGUGGGUACUGCGGCUGGAUCACCUCCUUAAUCGACGACUCAGCUGCACCAUAAGCACCCACACGAAUUGCUUGAUUCAUUGAAGAAGACGAUGAGAAGCAGCUUUUGCUUUGCACACCCGAUUUUGGGUCUGUAGCUCAGUUGGUUAGAGCGCACCCCUGAUAAGGGUGAGGUCGGCAGUUCGAAUCUGCCCAGACCCACCAGUUACCUGGUGAAGUUGGUCAGAGCGCGUACGACACCCGGAUACGGGGCCAUAGCUCAGCUGGGAGAGCGCCUGCCUUGCACGCAGGAGGUCAGCGGUUCGAUCCCGCUUGGCUCCACCACUUACUGCUUCUGUUUGAAAGCUUAGAAAUGAGCAUUCCACCCUGAUUGAAGGGUGCGUGAAUGUUGAUUUCUAGUCUUUGAUUAGAUCGUUCUUUAAAAAUUUGGGUAUGUGAUAGAAAGAAAUAUAGACCGGGCACCUCUUUCACUGGUGCGUGUCCGGGCUAAGGUAAAGUUUGUGAAUGCAAACUUUCGGCGAAUGUCGUCUUCACAGUAUAACCAGAUUGCUUGGGGUUAUAUGGUCAAGUGAAGAAGCGCAUACGGUGGAUGCCUUGGCAGUCAGAGGCGAUGAAAGACGUGGUAGCCUGCAAAAAAAGUGUC
rnacentral:misc_RNA from 1 species